rnacentral:snRNA from 1 species
UCCCAGAAACCAACAGCAUGAGCAAUGGG